GGUCUGGUUCUCCGGACAUUGUGUCCGUACUUACGCUGGAACCUCGUGGUUUGAAUAAAGGCCUUUGAACACGAUACAGCCUAAGCAGACUCCUUGAUUGACGGCUACCCUGAGUGCACAUGGUUUUAGCUGCCCCAAAAAUAGAAAGGUUUGAGUGAAGUGACCAGCUAGAAUUUGUAGCUCGCACGGAUUCGACCACAUCCAAGCGUGGAGGUUUUGUCAGCUUACUUCUCAUUCAGCGGAGAGGGAAAUGUCUAAUCAGAAGAAGAGUUGCUAGCACUCUUCAAGAAGAAGAUUAAAGGAACUAGGUUCUACAGCUUGAACCCAUGCUGUCUCUGGCUCCACACCCACCCUGACCCCAGCCAUCUAGAUGUGUGAAG